AGGGCUUGUGUGUUGGGCGGAGAUCUAGGGCUAUUCAAACCUGCACAAACAGCAAUGCAACGACAUGGGCAUUAACUAGAAGCUCGAUUGCGGGUGGUUAGAAACCGGUGUCUCGAGUUAGCCAGUUUACCUAACGGGAAAAAUGUAUAAAUAGACCUACUUAUAAUGUAACCCUAAUAUUUAAAAGGAGCCCUUUUGCCGUGACAUUGUGUAUCGCAAUGCCGUGACCCGGAUUCGAACCGGGGUUGCUGCGGCCACAACGCAGAGUACUAACCACUAUACGAUCACGGCCAACUACCUGGGCCAUGCCCCAUCAGGGAGAAGUCGGCAUCUUAAAUGAAACGUACAGUGACGUGGAUUAGCGUUCAAGCAGUGAUAUCUUCGUGUUUUGUCUCUAACAUGACAUGCAACGCAAGAUAAUCCCUCCAGAGCUGUGAAUAAUGAAUGGUAAACGUAACCCUAUACUCUGCUGCCAGUGGACGUCUGGCAGGUUAGGAAGUGUCAGUAUGUUUGCCUGUUCUUCCUGUCCCAUAUGCACAGUGACUAUACUGUGGGCCUGACUUAGACCUGGUCCGACAGACCCACCUUUCUCUUCUCCCAUCCCUGUGUUCAGGUCAGAGAGUGAUAGAUCCAUCCUCUGGAGUUUAGGGGGAACCCAAUAUGUUGCCCCUGGAUGAUAUAAACAAGGAGAGGUUGACCGUCACCCUCAUGGAUGCUAAUCAUUGUCCAUUGGAGGGCAUGUUCCUAUUCCAAGGAUACUUCAGGAACCGUACUCUACACUAGCGGAGCACUGUAUUCCACUGUACCACACAAUACUCUACAGGGGAUGAUUCUCCAGAGCUGUGAAUAAUGAAUGGUAAACAUAACCCUAUACUCUGCUGCCAGUGGACGUCUGGCAGGUUAGGAAGUGUCAGUAUGUUUGCCUGUUCUUCCUGUCCCAUAUGCACAGUGACUAUACUGUGGGCCUGACUUAGACCUGGUCCGACAGACCCACCUUUCUCUUCUCCCAUCCCUGUGUUCAGGUCAGAGAGUGAUAGAUCCAUCCUCUGGAGUUUAGGGGGAACCCAAUAUGUUGCCCCUGGAUGAUAUAAACAAGGAGAGGUUGACCGUCACCCUCAUGGAUGCUAAUCAUUGUCCAUUGGAGGGCAUGUUCCUAUUCCAAGGAUACUUCAGGAGCCGUACUCUACACUAGCAGAGCACUGUAUUCCACUGUACCACACAAUACUCUACAGGGGAUGAUUCUCCAGAGCUGUGAAUAAUGAAUGGUAAACAUAACCCUAUACUCUGCUGCCAGUGGACGUCUGGCAGGUUAGGAAGUGUCAGUAUGUUUGCCUGUUCUUCCUGUCCCAUAUGCACAGUGACUAUACUGUGGGCCUGACUUAGACCUGGUCCGACAGACCCACCUUUCUCUUCUCCCAUCCCUGUGUUCAGGUCAGAGAGUGAUAGAUCCAUCCUCUGGAGUUUAGGGGGAACCCAAUAUGUUGCCCCUGGAUGAUAUAAACAAGGAGAGGUUGACCGUCACCCUCAUGGAUGCUAAUCAUUGUCCAUUGGAGGGCAUGUUCCUAUUCCAAGGAUACUUCAGGAGCCGUACUCUACACUAGCAGAGCACUGUAUUCCACUGUACCACACAAUACUCUACAGGGGAUGAUUCUCCAGAGCUGUGAAUAAUGAAUGGUAAACGUAACCCUAUACUCUGCUGCCAGUGGACGUCUGGCAGGUUAGGAAGUGUCAGUCAGAGAGUGAUAGAUCCAUCCUCUGGAGUUUAGGGGGAACCCAAUAUGUUGCCCCUGGAUGAUAUAAACAAGGAGAGGUUGACCGUCACCCUCAUGGAUGCUAAUCAUUGUCCAUUGGAGGGCAUGUUCCUAUUCCAAGGAUACUUCAGGAGCCGUACUCUACACUAGCAGAGCACUGUAUUCCACUGUACCACACAAUACUCUACAGGGGAUGAUUCUCCAGAGCUGUGAAUAAUGAAUGGUAAACAUAACCCUAUACUCUGCUGCCAGUGGACGUCUGGCAGGUUAGGAAGUGUCAGUAUGUUUGCCUGUUCUUCCUGUCCCAUAUGCACAGUGACUAUACUGUGGGCCUGACUUAGACCUGGUCCGACAGACCCACCUUUCUCUUCUCCCAUCCCUGUGUUCAGGUCAGAGAGUGAUAGAUCCAUCCUCUGGAGUUUAGGGGGAACCCAAUAUGUUGCCCCUGGAUGAUAUAAACAAGGAGAGGUUGACCGUCACCCUCAUGGAUGCUAAUCAUUGUCCAUUGGAGGGCAUGUUCCUAUUCCAAGGAUACUUCAGGAGCCGUACUCUACACUAGCAGAGCACUGUAUUCCACUGUACCACACAAUACUCUACAGGGGAUGAUUCUCCAGAGCUGUGAAUAAUGAAUGGUAAACGUAACCCUAUACUCUGCUGCCAGUGGACGUCUGGCAGGUUAGGAAGUGUCAGUAUGUUUGCCUGUUCUUCCUGUCCCAUAUGCACAGUGACUAUACUGUGGGCCUGACUUAGACCUGGUCCGACAGACCCACCUUUCUCUUCUCCCAUCCCUGUGUUCAGGUCAGAGAGUGAUAGAUCCAUCCUCUGGAGUUUAGGGGGAACCCAAUAUGUUGCCCCUGGAUGAUAUAAACAAGGAGAGGUUGACCGUCACCCUCAUGGAUGCUAAUCAUUGUCCAUUGGAGGGCAUGUUCCUAUUCCAAGGAUACUUCAGGAGCCGUACUCUACACUAGCAGAGCACUGUAUUCCACUGUACCACACAAUACUCUACAGGGGAUGAUUCUCCAGAGCUGUGAAUAAUGAAUGGUAAACAUAACCCUAUACUCUGCUGCCAGUGGACGUCUGGCAGGUUAGGAAGUGUCAGUAUGUUUGCCUGUUCUUCCUGUCCCAUAUGCACAGUGACUAUACUGUGGGCCUGACUUAGACCUGGUCCGACAGACCCACCUUUCUCUUCUCCCAUCCCUGUGUUCAGGUCAGAGAGUGAUAGAUCCAUCCUCUGGAGUUUAGGGGGAACCCAAUAUGUUGCCCCUGGAUGAUAUAAACAAGGAGAGGUUGACCGUCACCCUCAUGGAUGCUAAUCAUUGUCCAUUGGAGGGCAUGUUCCUAUUCCAAGGAUACUUCAGGAGCCGUACUCUACACUAGCAGAGCACUGUAUUCCACUGUACCACACAAUACUCUACAGGGGUCAGUAGUAACUCUAUUCUACUACACCAUACACAAUACUCUACAGGGGUCAGUACUAACUCUAUUCUACUACACCAUACACAAUACUCUACAGGGGUCAGUACUAACUCUAUACCACUACACCAUACACAAUACUCUACAGGGUUCAGUACUAACUCUAUUCUACUACACCAUACACAAUACUCUACAGGGGUCAGUACUAACUCUAUUCUACUACACCAUACACAAUACUCUACAGGGGUCAGUACU